UACGAAGGGGGCUAGCGUUGCUCGGAAUCACUGGGCGUAAAGGGUGCGUAGGCGGGUCGUUUAAGUCAGAGGUGAAAUCCUGGAGCUCAACUCCAGAACUGCCUUUGAUACUGAGGAUCUUGAGUUCGGGAGAGGUGAGUGGAACUGCGAGUGUAGAGGUGAAAUUCGUAGAUAUUCGCAAGAACACCAGUGGCGAAGGCGGCUCACUGGCCCGAUACUGACGCUGAGGCACGAAAGCGUGGGGAGCAAACAGG
rnacentral:rRNA from 1 species